rnacentral:lncRNA from 10 species
GGAACUGGUGGCUUCAUAGGAAGAAGUAGAGGAAACCUAGCUAGGACACUCAGCCCCCUCAUCAUGGGAUGCCCUGGGCCACCUCGGGAAUCUGCAGAGCCCCCACCAGCAAAAAGGCCCUCAACAGAUGUGGACCCUUUACCUGAAACUUCUCAGCCUCCAUAAGGAAACUAACACAGGACCCAAAGAAAGUUGCGCUGAGCACAGGGAAUUCAAACUAAGGCAUGAGGAUUGAGGAAGUAUUGCUGUUACGGUGGACAAGUCUCACCCAGUGACAGGCGGCCACUGCACCAGGUCACAGAGGAGAUGCAGCUUCUGCUGAGAUGCCACCCAUGGGAACACCUGACUUCCCCCUCCCACGCCCUCCUCCUCCCUUCCCGCCUCCCACAAGCCACAGCAGGGGCUCCCUGAGCUGCCACCCACUGGGGCUUCUUGCCAUCCCUGUCAGGUUCGAGCUCCUCCACUUCCGUGCCCUGGUUCCCUGUGCUAAACUCCCUUUGUUGUGAAUAUCUGGAGUGAUUUUGGUUUCACUGGUGAGCUCCAACCUCCAUGGGGAUCAGGGCCCAGUAGGGUGGGUGUGGGCUGAAUAGCCAGCAAGAGCCUUGAAGUCUGGCAGGAUUGUAGGGUUGGACGAAGAGGGGCAGGGCCUGGGGGGAAAUGAGCAGGGAAUAGUGAAGCAAUUUGAGCAGCGCAGAAGUGGGACUGAGCUAAGGACUUCGCACUUGACCCAACUGGCAACAGGGAGUGAGCAAAGCAGGGUCCCAGGAGGCCACUGACAAUGCUGGACAGGAGCCGUACAUUUGUACACAAUAAAAGGAGCUCCAGAUGCCUCUGCAACUUGGCUUCUGCCCAACUCGUUGUCUUGCCUUGAGUUAGGGGCCUCAGUGAUGAAUGAAGAGGCUUCUGUCCCUUCCAGGCCACCAUAGAAGGAGACACUGGGGGUUUUGAGCCAGCAGGAGAUGUCAUGUGGCUUGAUUUAAAAGGAUACCUCUGGCUACCAUGGGAAGGCCAGAGUGGUAUAGGGGACCAGAUGGAAACUACUUUCGUCCCCUAGGUGGGAGAUGACAGGUGUGAAUCAGGGUGAAAGCAGAACUUCGUGGGGUCCUGUACAAGGCCUGGGACUAUAGGUGACCCAAGACUGACUCAUGACAUUCCUCCAUUGCCCCCCAAUCUCCUUCACUGUCUCUUUGCAGUGAAAAGAUCAGAGCCCCCACUUCUAGGUCAGUGGGACCCCGGGCCUCAGGGAAUGCUGAUGAUGGGCCAUCUCGCUAGAAGCCAGUUUCAGCACACCACCCUCAGGGUGCACCUCCAGCAUCCUCAGGUCUCAGAGGAGCCGACAGCAGACCUGGGAGGUAGAAGGAUGAGGCCCUUUGGCUGGUGAAGGCCAGGCCAUUUCUCACUUGGAACUAGCAUUACAGCCCUGCUCUCCUGAGAUGAGAGGUGGAGACUAGACUCUGGACCAGAUUGAAGACUGGCUGAAACAGGGACGAGGUGAAAGCCCCUCUCCAUAAGACACGUCCACCCACGUGGCCAUUUACCAUCACCAUGGCAACACUUGGAAGUUACCGCCCCUUUCCAUGGCAGCAACCCAGAAGCUACCACCCUCUUUCUAGAAAGUUCUGCAUAACCGGCUCCUUAAUUUGCACGUAAUUAAAAGUGUGUAUAAAUGUGACUGCAGCACUGCCCCGAGCUGCUACACUGGGCACACUGCCUAUGGGGGAGCCCUGCUCAGCAGCGAGCAGAACCUCUGCUGCUGCACACUGCCAUUUCAGUAAAAGCUGCUGUCUAACACCGCCAGUUCAUCCUUGAAUUCUUUCCUGAGCAGAGUCAAAAACCUUCCCAGCCUAAGCCCCAAUUUUAGGGCUCACCUGCCCUGUAUACCAGUGCCCCCUCCUCUACCCCCAAGGCCACUCAUGAGGGAAUUAAAACUGAACCCAAUGCUAAAGCGAUCUGGGUAAUAAAUGUGUUGGGACAUCAAGAAAGCCAUUUGCAAAAAAGAUAAAAUUAAUGCAUUCCUCAUCCCAAGCACAAGAAUAAACCACACAUAGAUCAGGGAACCACAAGUCAUCAUUAAACUAUGGAGUAUUAGAGGUGAUGGGUGAAUUCCUCUACUCUGGGUAAAGAAGACUUUCUAACUGUGAUUGAAAACCAAGAUUGAUAAUUUGAUACAAAAAAACUCAAACAAGAUUUUUUUGCAUGGCAAAAAUACAUCAGCAAAAUCAAAGGACAAAUAGAAAAUUGGGAGAAAAUAUUUGCAACGUAUAUCACAGACAAAAGGCCAAUAUUCUGGCUGGAUGCAGUGGCUCAUGCCUGCAAUCCCAGCACUUUGGGAGGCAGAGGCCAGUGGAUCACGAGGUCAGGAGUUCGAGACUAGCCUGGCCAACGUGGUGAAACCCCAUCUCUACUAAAAAUACAAAAAUUAGUUGGGUGUGGUGAUGCGUGCCUGUAGUCCCAGCUACUCGGGAGGCUGAGGCAGAAGAAUUGCUAGAACCUAGGAGGUGGAGGUUGCAGUGAGCCGAGAUGGCGCCCCUGCACUCCAGCCUGGGCAACAGGGCAAGACUCCAUCUCAAAAAAAAAAAAAAAAAAAAAAAAGCUAGGCUCGGUGGCUCACGCCUGUAAUCCCACACUUUGGGAGACUGAGGUGGGUGGAUGACCUGAAGUCAGGAGUUCGAGACCAGCCUGGCCAACAUGGAGAAACCCCGUCUCUACUAAAAAAUGCAAAA